CUAAAGUUUUAGGAUUGACAGAUUGAUAGCUCUUUCUUGAUUGACUUAAUGGUGGUGCAUGGCCGUUCUUAGUUGGUGGAGUGAUUUGUCUGGUUAAUUCCGUUAACGAACGAGACCUUAACCUACUAACUAGUACGACGUGACGAACGUUAGUUACUUCUUAGGAGGGACAAUGUGUAUUUUAACACAAGGAAGUUUAAGGCAAUAACAGGUCUGUGAUGCCCUUAGAUGUCCUGAGCCGCACACGCGCUACAAUGACACUUUCAAUAAGUUUUUGCUGGUCCGACAGGAUUUCGGCUAAUCUUUUUAGUAAGUGUCGUGCUAGGGAUAGAUCUUUGCAAUUGUGGAUCUUGAACGAGGAAUUCCUAGUAAGCACAAGUCAUCAGCUUGUGCUGAUUACGUCCCUGC
rnacentral:rRNA from 1 species